CAUUCCACCUCCCAGCCCUCCUGAUCCAAUGCCCAUGGCGAUAGGGGGGGCUGCAGCCAGGAAGACUGGAGGGGGACCCUUCUCCUGCACCCACUGUGGUCGCAGAGGGCACACUGCCGGAGGAGCUCGCCCGGGAGUCCAGAGGGCAGGCAGAGCACUCCUUCGACAUCUCAGAACUUUCAUUCCAUGUUUAUCAUCUCAAGUAUUCGGGCCAACAACCUACAUUGAUGACAGGGCUGUUGCCAUUGAUGACAGGAACUGUGAUGGUUACGAGCCACAAACAUGCCUCAUUUUCCUUUUCCCACGCCUGGAAUGGCCCCACGUUGACAUCCCCGUGCAAGUGACUGAUUGAAGCUCCCACACACGGCAUUGUGUUUCUCCAUCUCUUUUCUGGGAAGCUGUUCUUGGAAACACUCUUUUCCGAGGUGAUAAUGUGGAGGCGCCCAGGUGGAGGAAAAGGAAGUAAUCAGCCAUUCACUAUCACAGCCGAGGGAUUCCUGAGAAAACCAGCAAACCAGGCUGUCGUCUUGGGAAACAGUGGAUGUAAAGAAUCUAGCUAAAGCAUAUACUGCAAAUUGAAUGUACAGUUACGUAAGCUUGCCUUGCCGUGCAAUGCUGCUGAAGUAACAUAGCUAGCUAACUAUUUACUUGCUUAUUGUGUAGUGGAG
rnacentral:lncRNA from 1 species